GAUGAACGCUGGCGGCGUGCCUAAUACAUGCAAGUCGAACGCAUUGAGAAAAGUGCUUGCACUUUUCAAUUUGAGUGGCGAACGGGUGAGUAACACGUGGGCAACCUACCUGAUAGCGGGGGAUAACGAGUGGAAACAUUCGCUAAUACCGCAUAACAAUAGAGAAGGCAUCUUCUUUAUUUAAAAGGCGCUUUCAAGCGUCACUAUCAGAUGGGCCCGCGGUGCAUUAGUUAGUUGGUGGGGUGAAGGCCUACCAAGACGAUGAUGCAUAGCCGAGUUGAGAGACUGAUCGGCCCCAUUGGGACUGAGAAACGGCCCAAACUCCUACGGGAGGCUGCAGUAGGGAAUCUUCCACAAUGGACGAAAGUCUGAUGGAGCAACGCCGCGUGUGUGAUGAAGGCUUUCGGGUCGUAAAGCACUGUUGUAUGGGAAGAGAUGCUAGGCUAGGAAAUGAGCUUAGUUUGACGGUACCAUACCAGAAAGGGACGGCUAAAUACGUGCCAGCAGCCGCCGCGG
rnacentral:rRNA from 1 species